CGCCAUUAGUCGGGGAGCCAAUAGGCUGAGAUCGCAAUAGCGAACCCGUUGAACCUGAUUCAGUUAGUACUGACGUAGGGAACUAAUGGUCCUUUUGA
rfam:Vibrio fischeri ES114 chromosome II, complete sequence.